rnacentral:rRNA from 1 species
AUUGAACGCUGGCGGCAUGCCUUACACAUGCAAGUCGAACGGUAACAGGUCUUCGGAUGCUGACGAGUGGCGAACGGGUGAGUAAUACAUCGGAACGUGCCUAGUAGUGGGGGAUAACUACUCGAAAGAGUGGCUAAUACCGCAUGAGAUCUACGGAUGAAAGCAGGGGAUCGCAAGACCUUGUGCUACUAGAGCGGCCGAUGGCAGAUUAGGUAGUUGGUGGGAUAAAAGCUUACCAAGCCGACGAUCUGUAGCUGGUCUGAGAGGACGAUCAGCCACGCUGGGACUGAGACACGGCCCAGACUCCUACGGGAGGCAGCAGUGGGGAAUUUUGGACAAUGGGCGCAAGCCUGAUCCAGCAAUGCCGCGUGCAGGAUGAAGGCCUUCGGGUUGUAAACUGCUUUUGUACGGAACGAAAAGCCCUGGGUUAAUACCCUGGGGUCAUGACGGUACCGAAGAAUAAGCACCGGCUAACUACGUGCCAGCCGCCGCAGUAACAC